rnacentral:misc_RNA from 1 species
AAAGUCGUAACAAGGUUUCCGUAGGUGAACCUGCGGAAGGAUCAUUAUUGAAUAAAUAUAAUUUGGGAGGUUGUAGCUGACUCUCCGAGUAAUGUGCACACCUUUCAAACUAUUUAUCUCCAACCCACCUGUGCACUCCUUGUAGAUGCUGGAUAACAACUCUCCUUUGGAUUGUUGUGUUCUUUUGAGGGUUUUUGCCGUCAAGGCUGCCUUUGCUUGUCCAGCAUCUAUGUAUUUUAUAACACACCCCAUUUUAUAGUUUUUGAAUGUUUUAUCAAAAGGCAGCAAUGUCUUUUGUUAUAAAUAUUAAUACAACUUUCAACAACGGAUCUCUUGGCUCUC